rnacentral:lncRNA from 1 species
UUUUUGUACACAAAUUGUACCCCAAAUCCUAAACUUUAAGACUUUAGCUUGUUAUUUCCAAAUUCUUUCGAAAGAGGAACCCUAAUACCUAAUAAGGCCUCAGGCAGCCUCCUUGAAGCCCAUUGGAUAUGGUAUUCGACCAAUAGGGAUGAAGUUCCCCAUUCCUUGCCUUCAUCUAACCAUGCUUUGCUUUUAUCCCUCCCAAUUAGCCUCCUAUUAGUUUAGAUUUUCAUCCUUAGGUUUCCACCUUCUCCCAAGGCUUCAUACUAAACAUUUAGCUCUUACAUAUAUAUUUUUUUUAAUGUCAAAAUCAAAAGAAGUAAAGAAACAAAGUAAAGUUUCUUAUACCAACUCCUUUUAAUUUAAUCUACUAGCCAUUCUAACACACAUCUAGAUUUAUCAAAAUAUAAUAUGUUUUAGCUAAUUUUUACAUACUGUAAGCAUUUACAGUAUGACAGUGCGUCUAGCUCUCACAUUUCGGCCAUUGUCCUCUUUGUUUGUAGCUCGCUUUGUACUUUCAAUUGCCAUGACGCUCC